rnacentral:rRNA from 1 species
UCCGUAGGUGAACCUGCGGAAGGAUCAUUAACGUGGGGCUCCGGCCCCGCCGAGAUAGAACCCUUGCCUUUUGAGUACCACACGUUUCCUCGGCAGGCCCGCCUGCCAAUGGGGACCCAAACACAAACCUUUGAAUCACCUGUCACAGUCUGAGAAAACAAAACAAAAAUCAAAACUUUCAACAACGGAUCUCUUGGUUCUGGCAUCGAUGAAGAACGCAGCGAAAUGCGAUAAGUAGUGUGAAUUGCAGAAUUCAGUGAAUCAUCGAAUCUUUGAACGCACAUUGCGCCCUUUGGUAUUCCUUAGGGCAUGCCUGUUCGAGCGUCAUUUAACCCCUCAAGCUCAGCUUGGUGUUGGGCGCCCUGUCCCUCUGCCCCCUCGCGGGCGCGCGGACUCGCCUCAAAUCAAUUGGCGGCCGGUACGUUGGCUUCGAGCGCAGCAGAAACGCGAACUCGGUGCCCGGCGAGCCGGCUCCCAGAAGCUACCCCCCAUGAAUUUGACCUCGGAUCAGGUAGGGAUACCCCGCUGAACUUAA